CACACUCACCCUCUUCUAUAUAUAGGAAUCAUGAAUCAUUGUAAUAGAUAUCAAAAUAAACAUCAAUCAAUAAUACAUAAAUUUUUACAAUUAAUAUGGCAACAUGUGAUCCUAAAAUUAUGUGCAAGCUUUAUUCCUUUAUUUUCUUUAACGAUUCAUGUCAUACAUACACGACUUAUGCUACUUCAUGACUCCCGUAAUGAUGAUGGAAUCAAAAGCUUCUUUCAAGAGGUCCAUGAGCUAUAUAUAAAGAAACGGGUGAUGGAGAUGCUUUGGAGUUGGAGUGGGGGCCAAGUUGGGAAGCGGCGUCGUAAGGCUUGGGCUUUGGCCCCUCUGUUGCUAUGGUUGGAGCAGGAUCGGCAUGUUUUUCAGGAAUUGCUCGUUCUGCUUCUUGGUUAGAAGAUAGAUUUUUGCGAGACUUGUGUGGUUAGGUGUCAGGACGUGUGAUUGUUUACCUUUUUAGAUCCCUUGAUGAUGUAAUUGGCUAGUUUGUGUUUUCUGGAGGACUCUUUUGUAUUCUUUAGCAUCUUCUUGAUGCUAUUUUUCAAUAAUAUUUCAAUUAUCAAAAAAAAAAAA